rnacentral:tRNA from 1 species
GCCCGGCUAGCUCAAUCGGUAGAGCGUGAGACUCUUAAAACGAGUUCACAUCUCAAGGUUGUGGGUUCGACCCCCACGUCGGGCU